rnacentral:lncRNA from 1 species
GGUCUUGGAUAUGUCUUCUUUCUUUAUUUUUCGGACUUGAAUCUUUUCUCGGAUCUCCAUCGUCAUCAAACAAAAGGAACAAUGUUUUUGUUUUGUUUACGACAGGUCAAGUGACAAUCUCCAUGAGUUUUUGCUCUUGGGCCAGUUACUGGUGGCGCUUGAAGGAGGGAUCGAACCUCCCACCUUGUAAAGAAUGAAACGA